UCUUAUGUGGCUCAGUUGGUAGAGCAUGGUGCUGGCAUUUCCAGGGAUGUGGGUUCGAUUCCCACAGGGGGAC
rnacentral:tRNA from 1 species